UACGUAGGGAGCAAGCGUUGUUCGGAUUUACUGGGCGUAAAGGGCGCGUAGGCGGCGCGGUAAGUCACUUGUGAAAUCUCUGAGCUUAACUCAGAACGGCCAAGUGAUACUGCAGUGCUAGAGUGCAGAAAGGGCAAUCGGAAUUCUUGGUGUAGCGGUGAAAUGCGUAGAUAUUGGGAGGAACACCUGCGGCGAAGGCGGGUUGCUGGGCUGACACUGACGCUGAGGCGCGAAAGCCAGGGGAGCGAACGGG
rnacentral:rRNA from 1 species